GUGGCUUCUGGAGCUAACGCGUUAAAUCGACCGCCUGGGGAGUACGGCCGCAAGGUUAAAACUCAAAUGAAUUGACGGGGGCCCGCACAAGCGGUGGAGCAUGUGGUUUAAUUCGAUGCAACGCGAAGAACCUUACCUACUCUUGACAUCCAGCGAAUCCUUUAGAGAUAGAGGAGUGCCUUCGGGAACGCUGAGACAGGUGCUGCAUGGCUGUCGUCAGCUCGUGUUGUGAAAUGUUGGGUUAAGUCCCGCAACGAGCGCAACCCUUAUCCUUUGUUGCCAGCGCGUAAUGGCGGGAACUCAAAGGAGACUGCCGGUGAUAAACCGGAGGAAGGUGGGGAUGACGUCAAGUCAUCAUGGCCCUUACGAGUAGGGCUACACACGUGCUACAAUGGCAGAUACAAAGAGAAGCGACCUCGCGAGAGCAAGCGGAACUCAUAAAGUCUGUCGUAGUCCGGAUUGGAGUCUGCAACUCGACUCCAUGAAGUCGGAAUCGCUAGUAAUCGUAGAUCAGAAUGCUACGGUGAAUACGUUCCCGGGCCUUGUACACACCGCCCGUCACACCAUGGGAGUGGGUUGCAAAAGAAGUAGGUAGCUUAACCUUCGGGAGGGCGCUUACCACUUUGUGAUUCAUGACUGGGGUGAAGUCGUAACAAGGUAACCGUAGGGGAACCUGCGGUUGGAUCACCUCCUUA
rnacentral:rRNA from 1 species